rnacentral:lncRNA from 1 species
GCAGAGAAAGGCGUCUUCGUACUCGCCUCUCUCCGCGCCCUCCUCCGCCGCCGCUCGCCGCCGUUCGUCUCCGCCGCCACCGCCGCCGCCAUGAGGGAGUGCAUCUCGAUCCACAUCGGGCAGGCCGGUAUCCAGGUCGGGAACGCGUGCUGGGAGCUCUAUUGCCUCGAGCAUGGCAUCCAGGUAAAACAAACAAAAACGGAUCUGAUGCUUCCAUUCCUCCGUUUCUCGUAGUAGCGCGCUUCGAUCUGUGGGUGGAUCUGGGUGAUCCUGGGGUGUGGUUCGUUCUGUUUGAUAGAUCUGUCGGUGGAUCUGGCCUUCUGUGGUUGUCGAUGUCCGGAUCUGCGUUUUGAUCAGUGGUAGUUCGUGGAUCUGGCGAAAUGUUUUGGAUCUGGCAGUGAGACGCUAAGAAUCGGGAAAUGAUGCAAUAUUAGGGGGGUUUCGGAUGGGGAUCCACUGAAUUAGUCUGUCUCCCUGCUGAUAAUCUGUUCCUUUUUGGUAGAUCUGGUUAGUGUAUGUUUGUUUCGGAUAGAUCUGAUCAAUGCUUGUUUGUUUUUUCAAAUUUUCUACCUAGGUUGUAUAGGAAUGGCAUGCGGAUCUGGUUGGAUUGCCAUGAUCCGUGCUGAAAUGCCCCUUUGGUUGAUGGAUCUUGAUAUUUUACUGCUGUUCACCUAGAUUUGUACUCCCGUUUAUACUUAAUUUGUUGCUUAUUAUGAAUAGAUCUGUAACUUAGGCACAUGUAUGGACGGAGUAUGUGGAUCUGUAGUAUGUACAUUGCUGCGAGCUAAGAACUAUUUCAGAGCAAGCACAGAAAAAAAUAUUUAGACAGAUUGGGCAACUAUUUGAUGGUCUUUGGUAUCAUGCUUUGUAGUGCUCGUUUCUGCGUAGUAAUCUUUUGAUCUGAUCUGAAGAUAGGUGCUAUUAUAUUCUUAAAGGUCAUUAGAACGCUAUCUGAAAGGCUGUAUUAUGUGGAUUGGUUCACCUGUGACUCCCUGUUCGUCUUGUCUUGAUAAAUCCUGUGAUAAAAAAAAUUCUUAAGGCGUAAUUUGUUGAAAUCUUGUUUUGUCCUAUGCAGCCUG